UAUAUAUAUAUAGAUAUAUAUAUUAUAUAGUGAUAUAAUAUAUAUAUAUGUAUACACACACACACACAAAGUGAAUAGGUAUAUUGACCAGAACUGUAGGCCCUUCAAUCAAUGCAGCUUCUUGGCAAAUAAUAUACAUGUAUCCAUGUGCCUGCAUGUGUGUGUGUGUGCCUAUGUGUGUGUGUGUGUAUGUGUGUGUGUGUGUGUGUGUGUGUGUGUGUGUGUGUGUGUGUGUGUGUGUACAGAUUGAAAAUAAUAAAAUAGAAACAUCUGGUUAUGAAUAUUAAUUCUGCUAAUUGUUUUGAAGGAUUAAUAGAGACAUUACGGCAGAACAAAA